CGGGGUGCAGCAGGCGCGAAAACUUUACAAUGCUGGCAACAGCGAUAAGGGGACCUCGAGUGCCAGGAUACAAUCUUGGCUGUCGUGAUGCCUAAAAAGCAUUACAUAGCAAGGGCCGGGCAAGACCGGUGCCAGCCGCCGCGGUAACACCGGCGGCUCGAGUGGUAACCGCUAUUAUUGGGUCUAAAGGGUCUGUAGCCGGCCGGAUAAGUCUCUUGGGAAAUCCGACAGCUCAACUGUCGGGCUUUCAGGGGAUACUGUUCGGCUCGAGGCCGGGAGAGGUGAGAGGUACUUCAGGGGUAGGGGUGAAAUCUUGUAAUCCUUGAAGGACCACCAGUGGCGAAGGCGUCUCACCAGAACGGUCCUGACGGCAAGGGACGAAAGCUAGGGGCACGAACCGGAUUAGAUACCCGGGUAGUCCUAGCCGUAAACGAUACUCGCUAGGUGUCGGCCACGGUGCGACCGUGGUCGGUGCCGUAGGGAAGCCGUGAAGCGAGCCACCUGGGAAGUACGGCCGCAAGGCUGAAACUUAAAGGAAUUGGCGGGGGAGCACAAGGGCGAAUCGCGG
rnacentral:rRNA from 1 species